rnacentral:rRNA from 1 species
GCGAACGCUAGCGGCGGGCUUAACACAUGCAAGUCGAACGCGACCUUCGGGUCGCGUGGCGAACGGGUGAGGAACACGUAGGUGACGUGCCCUUUGGCGGGGAAUAACUCGGGGAAACCUGAGCUAAUACCGCAUAUGUCCUUUGGGAUGAAAGGCUUCGGCCACCAGAGGAUCGGUCUGCGGCCCAUUAUUUAAUCCUAGUUGGUGAGGUAACGGCUCACCAAGGGUACGAUGGGUAGCUGGUCUGAGAGGAUGAUCAGCCACACUGGGACUGAGACACGGCCCAGACUCCUACGGGAGGCAGCAGUGGGGAAUAUUGGACAAUGGGCGAAAGCCUGAUCCAGCUACGCCGCGUGAGUGAUGAAGGCCUUCGGGUUGUAAAGCUCUGUCGGGAGGGACGAAGGCUUCGGCUUGACGGUACCUCGCAAGAAAGCACCGGCUAACUCCGUGCCAGCAGCCGCGGUAAUACGGAGGGUGCAAACGUUGCUCGGAAUCACUGGGCGUAAAGCGCACGCAGGCGGCUUGUUAAGUCGGAUGUGAAAGCCCUGGGCUCAACCCAGGAACUGCAUUCGAAACUGGCAGGCUUGAGUACGGGAGAGGAUGGUGGAAUUCCUGGUGUAGAGGUGAAAUUCGUUGAUAUCAGGAGGAACACCGGCGGCGAAGGGCGGCUCUCUGGCCCAGAUACUGACGCUCAUGGUCGAAAGCAUGGGUAGCGAACGGGAUUAGAUACCCCGGUAGUCCAUGCCGUAAACGAUGAAUGCUAGCUGAUGGAGGUCUAUACCCGUUCAUUGGCAAAGCUAACGCAGUAAGUGCCCCGCCUGGGGAGUACGGUCGCAAGGCUGAAACUCAAACGAAUUGACGGGGGCCCGCACAAGCGGUGGAGCAUGUGGUUUAAUUCGACGCAACGCGAAGAACCUUACCUAGGUUUGACAUGGGCGAGAUCGCCGGUGAAAGCCGGAAGCCGGUUUCCCUUCGGGGCUCGUUCACAGGUGCUGCAUGGCUGUCGUCAGCUCGUGUCGUGAGAUGUUGGGUUAAGUCCCGCAACGAGCGCAACCCUUGUCCUUAGUUGCCAUCAUUAAGUUGGGCCACUCUAGAGGGACUGCCGGUGUCAAACCGGAGGAAGGUGGGGAUGACGUCAAGUCCUCAUGGCCUUUAUGACCAGGGCUACACACGUACUACAAUGGCAUGUACAAAGGGCAGCGAGCACGCGAGUGUCAGCGAAUCCCAUAAAGCAUGUCUCAGUCCGGAUUGGAGUCUGCAACUCGACUCCAUGAAGUUGGAAUCGCUAGUAAUCGUGGAUCAGCAUGCCACGGUGAAUACGUUCCCGGGCCUUGUACACACCGCCCGUCACACCACGAAAGUCGGUUGUUCCAGAAGCGGUUGGGCUAACCCUCGGGAGGGAGCCGCCAACGGUCUGGUCGAUGAUUGGGGUGA